CCCGUUUCAUAAAACUUUUGACUUGCAACUGUAACAUCUCCCAUAUCUAUGGCAAAUCUUGUUAUUGCAAUGGCAACUUGUCAUAGUUGCAAAUAUCCGUUUCAUAAAAGCUAUGACAAAUUGUUAUCGUAAAUAAAAAUAAAUAAAUGAAAAAUAGUUCGUGAACGAGCCUGAUUUGCAGCUAACAGUCGGUUUUUUUCUUCACACACGUCGUCUGCGAUAAAAUUUUGAUGGUGACAGAAUUGAAGUAAAAUUUGAAUCGGAGAUAUGGCAGCAGGAGCAAAUGUUGGUCGUGAUGAGGCAUAUACCACCAUCAACAAUGCUGCAAUUGCAGUCACCACCACCACUGCUGCCACCACCAUCAGUGCUACUAAUGCCACCACCACCAAGUCUGCUUCUGCCACUGCCAUCACCAUUGCCACCGCCACUACCAAGACCACUCCUGACACAAAGCCCCCAAGUCCUCAACUGACCAGAUAUUGCAGCUGGAGAAGGAUAGACCAGGAACUUCAAAGCCAGGGCUUGCCGGUCUCCUACAAUAAGAAAAAUGCCAAGGGCCCAUCUAAUGAACUUGUUGCAGAAUAUUUGGCCACAGUUGUAGAAAAGCAGUGACUAACAUGCAGCCACAGGUGAGGCUUUGUCCACAUUUCCAGAUAGACACAAGAUAGUAUCAGAAAGCCAUGCCAAAAUCAACGACUGAAGGGUUUGGAGAGCCAUACAAAGAGCCUAGAAAUGUGAUUUCACCUGUACUUCAAUCACAUGAACAGCAGCAGGAGCAAAAACAGCAGCAACCACACAGGAGAUGUAACGACAGCAUUGACCAACAGCAACAACAACAGCAGCAUAAACAAUUUCUGCAGGAGGUGCAAAAACCACACCGGCAACCUCAACAACAUCAAGAUGUCCAACAACCACUCCGGGAACAUUAACAGCAACCACAACUUCAGCAAGAGUUUCAACAAGCACAUCAGCAAAAACCAACAGCACUUAUGAAAUGAAUUUAAUUGAAACUCAAAAGCCAAUGAGGAAACAUCUUUUACAAAAUGAGACAUCAUUUGUUCAUUCUUUUACAGGAUAAAGGAAAGCUUUUUUGAAAGUGUAAAUUUGCAGGAACACAAUGUAUG